rnacentral:rRNA from 1 species
GCAAUGGACGAAAGUCUGACGGAGCAACGCCGCGUGAGUGAUGAAGGUUUUCGGAUCGUAAAGCUCUGUUGUUAGGGAAGAACAAGUGCAAGAGUAACUGCUUGCACCUUGACGGUACCUAACCAGAAAGCCACGGCUAACUACGUGCCAGCAGCCGCGGUAAUACGUAGGUGGCAAGCGUUGUCCGGAAUUAUUGGGCGUAAAGGGCUCGCAGGCGGUUUCUUAAGUCUGAUGUGAAAGCCCCCGGCUCAACCGGGGAGGGUCAUUGGAAACUGGGAAACUUGAGUGCAGAAGAGGAGAGUGGAAUUCCACGUGUAGCGGUGAAAUGCGUAGAGAUGUGGAGGAACACCAGUGGCGAAGGCGACUCUCUGGUCUGUAACUGACGCUGAGGAGCGAAAGCGUGGGGAGCGAACAGGAUUAGAUACCCUGGUAGUCCACGCCGUAAACGAUGAGUGCUAAGUGUUAGGGGGUUUCCGCCCCUUAGUGCUGCAGCUAACGCAUUAAGCACUCCGCCUGGGGAGUACGGUCGCAAGACUGAAACUCAAAGGAAUUGACGGGGGCCCGCACAAGCGGUGGAGCAUGUGGUUUAAUUCGAAGCAACGCGAAGAACCUUACCAGGUCUUGACAUCCUCUGACAACCCUAGAGAUAGGGCUUUCCCUUCGGGGACAGAGUGACA